UCCACCUUGUCAGGAGUGAUGUUGAGAAGGUUAUUGAGUUCUGGGAACAUUUCGAACGCCGAGGAAAUAAGCGUGGUUGAGGAGAAGGUCUCAGACCUGAAGCGGUCCACGGGGCAGAGUGACGUCUUACGGUGGCACACGGCACACAUUCCUCUGACCCCUGGGCACGGGCCAUCCAGCUGCAGAACAAGGCCCAGCCACAGCCCAGAGACGUCAGGAAGGAGGUGCUACGCAGAGACCCUCCCGCCCCGGGCGGGGCCUGCUUUCUUAAGAACUUCUGUGAGUUUCAGAUGCAGCUGAAGCCCCUCAGGGAACACUGACUACCUGCAAAGGGCAGGAAGACGUUCUGCAGCUCCGCAGUGACCUCGGAGUAAAUGUGGCCCAGCAUCGCGUCACUCCAGCUCCCGGACCCAGGAGUCACUUCUGUGAGCGUAAAAACCUGAGCAAACUCGCACGGGCAGACGCCUUCCUGCACUGCCCGCCUUCUCGCUGGAAGGUGCGGUCUCGGUACCCGCCUCGCAGUCAGCUCUACCUAGACGCCUGCACGGCCUGUGUGUCCUGACUGAGUCCUCCUUCCAGGGCACGAGGAACCGAGGACGGAGGCGGGGAGGGGCUGGCCCCCCGCCGCGUCAGGACCCGGCUUCCUGGUGACAACUCAAGACCUCGGACGCCACCACACAUCGCUGUGCUUCUGCCCUGGGUGUCUGUGAGAGCUUCCCAGAUGUCUGCAGGCCUGGCUUCCUCACCUCCUUCAGUCCCCACUCUGCGAGGCCUCCCCAGCUCUCCGUUCCUCCAGGGUCCGCUCGGGCCACCUGUGGUGCCUCACCUGAAACACACCCUCCCCAGGGCGGCCUUUAAGGGACACGUGUGUCUGUCCUCAGUGGGAUACUCUGGUGACUGCACUGGCUCGAGUGCACACAAGUUUAUUGAGUUCUCGUCACCAUUCAAGUUCUCCCUCUGUCCAGUCCUGCUUUGUCUUCCUUUCACAGCCAUGGUCAGCGGCUGCAUUGCUUCGUGGCCCAGGUGAGGCCGAAACAUCAAGGCAGGGAGCAAAGCUGCUCAAUCUACAGCCACCAGGAGGCAGAGAGAGAAGCGGCCACGACCCCAGUGUGUCCUUCAAGGACCCCCAAGGGCCUUCCUCCUCCACCUGGGCCCACCCUGACAUUUCUGUGGCUUCCCAGUUGUGCCAGCUGCAGACCGAGCUUUCAGCAGGUGAGCAUUUGGGGACACUGAAGGCCCAAACUGAGCGAGGUGUGGUGGUGCAGGCCUGGAAUCUCAACACUGGGUUCAAUUUCCAGGA